rnacentral:lncRNA from 1 species
ACAAAUUCAGUAUGCAUCUAAGUUACUUGUUCGUAUCAUCUUAUGAUACCUUUCCAAUAGCCUUUUGAUAUAUGCAAGUCAAAGCUUAAUUAGCUGCAGUAAUAAAAAGAGUCUUAAGAGUAUAAACAGAAAAAAAAAUCUGCGUAACAAGAAUAACUAACCUAGAUGAAUUUUAGAAUAUAUUUACAAGUACAGGGUUUUAUUCAUCAAUAUCGAGGCUACAAGCUAAAGUUUAAAAAAAAAAUCUGAUAGCAAAAAGUUACUUACCAGGAAAGCAAUGGCAUCUAAUUAGACAGUGGUGAACUCUACAAGCAUCAUUAUUAAUUGGAGAGAAAAACAGAAUGAACUCAGCCUCAAUGAAAAAAUAAAUUAACAAAAUAAUGCGGUGUCAGAAUCCAAAUCAAUAGAAAAAAGACAAACUGAGAAUCUUUGAUAAUGGAAUAAAAAAGUGAAGUCAGACAUUUUGAGCAUCUGAAGAGAUAUCUACAUGCACAGAAACUGCUCAAGCGAGAAAAAUGAAAAGCAGAUAUUUGGAGACACAAGUGCAUGCUUAUUUGUGUUUCUUAAACAAUAAUUAGAUGCGGUAAAUUUUCAACAUAAAAUCCAAAACUGAUCCUACAAGUGUUAAACAAUUUGCAUCCAGGACCUGCCAACAAUAUCGUGAGGCAACCAAGGGGGCUUGCUUCAGAAGCAUGUACACCUUUUCCUGUGGACCGGAACACAUGGCAGCAAAAGAAAAUUCAAAAAAACUCAACCUUAAUUUCAAAAUAAUUUACCAUAGCAAGACAUAGGUAUAAUAACACUUACUCACGCAACCUAUCUAACAUACAAUUGCCUUAACUAUUUACAAGAGCUACCCUAACCUUUUUCUAAAUUGUACAUAGAUAAAAAAAAAAAGUUACCAUAAAUUAAAGACAUAUUAGUCAAUAAUGAUAAGAAGUCAUAGAAACAAAUGCACAUUCACCAAAAUAUACAACAAAAAAGAAAAAAACAUAACAAGAGAGGUCACAGAGAUGCGAAAACAGAGGGCUGUGGAGGGUAGAAUACAGUCAGUAAUACACCACACAAACAAACAUUAAAAAAAAUGGAAGAACGGGAUAGAAGAGAGACAACCAAACCAAUGGAUAAUGGAUUGGGAAAUGAAGACCGAUGUUUGAAAAAUUGGACCGGACUUGUCGACUCCAUUGGACAACCAGUGAACUAGUCAGGUCAAAAAUUCAGAUGGCAAAGAAAUUAGUAGAGAACCGGUCAACCUAGUCUAAAAACGGUUGAAACCAAUUAAAAACAACGCUAAAGAACAGGAUUGUAGUCUUUUUAAAUUUUUCAAAAUCUAUAUUCAAUACAAAACAAUUCUCAAGAAAUAGAAAGAACAAAUAUAUAAUAUUUCUGUAAAAGUGAGCACCAUUUAACCUAUUAUUAUUUCUUUUUCUUACAAAAUACAAUAAGGCCUAUUUAUAUUAAUUUAAAGAUUUAUAUAUCUUGAUAUUUUUAAAUUCACGUUGGUUAGUCAAUUGAAAUAUUAUGAUAUUAAAAACAUAUAUUUAAUUAUUAACAGAUAACUGUGGCCGAACAAAAAAACUCUAAAUCAAUGCCUUCUCCGAUUCAAACACCGGUCUAAUUUUUAAAACAUUCGUGAAGAUGAUGCAUUUCACGAACAAAGGAGAGUGGGAGACUUAGGGUAAAAACCCUAAGAGGAGUGGGUGCACUAUAGAAAUGACCAAAGAACCCUUAAGAACUAUGUGGGUCACACAAAAAUGGGGACGGAGUAUGGUUUUUACCCAUCAAACAAAGUAACAGUGAUUUAGAGUCGCACUGUACAGCCCUUAAAUCACUUGGAGAUCACCUGACACCAUGUGGCAGCACAAUUAACAACCCUAAUAACACUGUUACAUCCUAGCAUAACUUGCUUUUCAACUUACAUGAUAAAGUGUUAUAGUCACACGAAGAUAAUUGACACAGCAUGCAAACUAGUGAAAUAAACAGCAGUUAUCUGAUCAUAUGUACUAAAGAGGAUCUUCCAUGUAAGUGCUGUGUCCGCAGAUUUAAAAAAGCUCAUGUUCUGACAUGACAUGACGAGAGUUCAAAGCAGACCUGAAACAAACUAUAUUAUUAGGAAACAGAGCAAACAGUAGUCAGAAAUUUCUUAUCUCUGCAAGAAAAUCAUUGGUAGAUGUCACCAAUUAAUUUGCGGAGAGAAAAGAGGCUUAUGUUUUUGUUAUUGUCGUCAUUGUUAUAUAAUGUCAAUUGAAGGGUUAGCACUGAUGUUUGAACUGUAAAUACUAAAUAGAGAGCCAUGAUUCAUAUUAAGAAAACAAGUCAGACUUUAUAUGUGAAAUGCAGGUAAACAAAUUCAGUAUGCAUCUAAGUUACUUGUUCGUAUCAUCUUAUGAUACCUUUCCAAUAGCCUUUUGAUAUAUGCAAGUCAAAGCUUAAUUAGCUGCAGUAAUAAAAAGAGUCUUAAGAGUAUAAACAGAAAAAAAAAUCUGCGUAACAAGAAUAACUAACCUAGAUGAAUUUUAGAAUAUAUUUACAAGUACAGGGUUUUAUUCAUCAAUAUCGAGGCUACAAGCUAAAGUUUAAAAAAAAAAUCUGAUAGCAAAAAGUUACUUACCAGGAAAGCAAUAGCAUCUAAUAAGACAGUGGUGCACUCUACAAGCAUCAUUAUUAAUUGGAGAGAAAAACAGAAUGAACUCAGCCUCAAUGAAAAAAUAAAUUAACAAAAUAAUGCGGUGUCAGAAUCCAAAUCAAUAGAAAAAAGACAAACUGAGAAUCUUUGAUAAUGGAAUAAAAAAGUGAAGUCAGACAUUUUGAGCAUCUGAAGAGAUAUCUACAUGCACAGAAACUGCUCAAGCGAGAAAAAUGAAAAGCAGAUAUUUGGAGACACAAGUGCAUGCUUAUUUGUGUUUCUUAAACAAUAAUUAGAUGCGGUAAAUUUUCAACAUAAAAUCCAAAACUGAUCCUACAAGUGUUAAACAAUUUUCAUCCAGUACCUGCCAACAAUAUCGUGAGGCCACGAAGGGGGCUUGCUUCAGAAGCAUGUACACCUUUUCCUGUGGACCGGAACACAUGGCAGCAAAAGAAAAUUCAAAAAAACUCAACCUUAAUUUCAAAAUAAUUUACCAUAGCAAGACAUAGGUAUAAUAACACUUACUCACGCAACCUAUCUAACAUACAAUUGCCUUAACUAUUUACAAGAGCUACCCUAACCUUUUUCUAAAUUGUACAUAGAUAAAAAAAAAAAGUUACCAUAAAUUAA